rnacentral:rRNA from 1 species
UACAGAGGGUGCGAGCGUUGUCCGGAAUCACUGGGCGUAAAGGGCGCGUAGGCGGCCCCUUAAGCGUGUGGUGAAAGCUCGGGGCUCAACCUCGAGUCGGCCAUGCGGACUGGGGGGCUGGAGCACGUCAGAGGCAGGCGGAAUUCCGGGAGUAGCGGUGGAAUGCGUAGAGAUCCGGAAGAACACCGGUGGCGAAGGCGGCCUGCUGGGACGUGGCUGACGCUGAGGCGCGACAGCGUGGGGAGCAAACAGG